CCCUACGGGGCGCAGCAGUGGGGAAUUUUGGACAAUGGGCGCAAGCCUGAUCCAGCUAUUCCGCGUGUGGGAUGACGGCCCUCGGGUUGUAAACCACUUUAGUAGAGAACGAAAAGGAGCUAUCGAAUAAAUAGCUCUGCUGACGGUACUCUAAGAAUAAGCACCGGCUAACUACGUGCCAGCAGCCGCGGUAAUACGUAGGGUGCGAGCGUUAAUCGGAAUUACUGGGCGUAAAGGGUGUGCAGGCGGGAAGCCAAGUCAGCUGUGAAAACUACGGGCUUAACUUGUAGACUGCAGUUGAAACU
rnacentral:rRNA from 1 species